rnacentral:rRNA from 1 species
AGCGAACGCUGGCGGCAGGCCUAACACAUGCAAGUCGAACGAACCUUUCGGGGUUAGUGGCGGACGGGUGAGUAACACGUGGGAACGUGCCUUUAGGUUCGGAAUAACUCAGGGAAACUUGUGCUAAUACCGAAUGUGCCCUUCGGGGGAAAGAUUAAUCGCCUUUAGAGCGGCCCGCGUCUGAUUAGCUAGUUGGUUGAGGUAAUGGCUCACCAAGGCGACGAUCAGUAGCUGGUCUGAGAGGAUGAUCAGCCACAUUGGGACUGAGACACGGCCCAAACGCCGACGGCAGGCAGCAGGGGGGAAGAUUGGACAAUGGGCGAAAGCCUUAUCCAGCUAUGCCGCGGGAGGAAUGAAGGCCUUAGGGGUGUAAAGCUCUUGUACACGAGAUGAUAAUGACAGGAGCGGGAGAAGAAGCGCCGGCUAACUCAGUG